AAGAUCGUGUAUUUUCCUUGAAUUGUAAUACACCCUUUCGAUAAUUACGUCACAACUACACUGUUUUCAACUUAGCACCACCUUAAAUGUAAAGGAUUUCAAGUUUUUUUCUCAUGAGUUAUGCACGUGUAUUAAGUAUCAAAGUAGAAAUGUCAUGAUGUCAUCUUUGAAUUUUGUUAAAUGACAUGGAAUAUCGGUAUUGGAAAAAUAUCGGUCCUUCAAUAUCGAUUAUCGGAAUAUCGGUGAAUUUCCAAAUCGGUGCAUCACUAUUAUCAAGGUUGCUCCACAUCAUGGAAAUCCAAUUUACCAAAAUGCCCAUCGCGCGCUUAUAUCGUUAACCGCAGACAGGAUGGGUGGGGAUUGCAGAGGCACCCUUAAAGGAACUAUAUAGGCCUUCUGGCAGAAAUCGAAUAUUUGGCCCUGCGAUUCCUAACCAACUGAGCUACAGAGUCCAGUUUUUGAGCUCUAACCACAAGUUCAUGCAUCUAUACUCAAAGCGAUGCCAUGGUUAAGGUUUUAUUCAUGUUUAAGAGUAAAUGCUGAGGGAUUUUGUAGAUGGAAAUUUCGAGUGUAAAUUUUAUACAUUUACAUUAGACCUAACUAGGAGCAACUGCGAAAAAUGCAACUGUAUAUAUUGAACGAAUUGAAACCACUGAUUGAAACCCGGGCGGUCACACGUAAAUGACGUAAUACCACCAUGCUAGCCCAUAGACGGAUUUUCAUAUUUUUUACUGGGGUGGUGCCAGAAAUUUUAGGGGGGUGAGCCGUGAGCAGGUGACUGAAGCAACACAAAGUGUACCAAACCCCAGUAAGGUCUAUAUUCUAGGGGUGGAGCACUCGAGCCGCGAGGGGGAGUCUAGAGAGCAGAAAACAAAGUAUCCCUGGAAAAAUUUGAAAAAAAUCAUGAUUUCUAGCUUCGAAAAAACGUUUUUUGAAGUUGUCAUAUCAAUGGAUUUGGCCUGUCCGAUCAGGGCCGUAGCUAG